rnacentral:rRNA from 1 species
AGUCGCAGGAGAAGGAGGCUUCGGCUUCCGGACACUGGCGGACGGGUGAGUAACGCGUGGGGACCUACCCUGGGGUGGGGGACAACCGCUGGAAACGGCGGCUAAUACCGCAUACGCCCCUUUUGCUUCGGCAUGGGGGGGAAAACUCCGGUGCCCUGGGAUGGCCCCGCGUCGGAUUAGCUAGUUGGUGGGGUAACGGCCUACCAAGGCGACGAUCCGUAGCUGGUCUGAGAGGAUGACCAGCCACACUGGAACUGAGACACGGUCCAGACUCCUACGGGAGGCAGCAGUGGGGAAUAUUGGACAAUGGGGGCAACCCUGAUCCAGCCAUGCCGCGUGUGUGAAGAAGGCCUUAGGGUUGUAAAACACUUUCAGCGGGGAAGAUGAUGACGGUACCCGCAGAAGAAGCCCCGGCUAACUCCGUGCCAGCAGCCGCGGUAAUACGGAGGGGGCUAGCGUUGUUCGGAAUUACUGGGCGUAAAGGGCGUGUAGGCGGCUUGCCAAGUCAGGCGUGAAAGCCCCGGGCUUAACCUGGGAACUGCGUUUGAGACUGGCAGGCUAGAGGUUGGAAGAGGAGAGUGGAAUUCCCAGUGUAGAGGUGAAAUUCGUAGAUAUUGGGAAGAACACCGGUGGCGAAGGCGGCUCUCUGGUCCACACCUGACGCUGAGGCGCGAAA